rnacentral:rRNA from 1 species
UUCGUUACUUCAAACCUAUCGGACUUCGGUCUGACAUCAAGUGAUAUUGAACAAUUUAGCUGAUCGCACGGUCUAAGAACCGGCGACAUAUCCUUCAGAUGUCUGCCUUAUCAACUUUCGAUGGUAGAUUAUGCGCCUACCAUGGUUGUAACGGGUAACGGAGAAUCAGGGUUUGAUUCCGGAGAGGGAGCCUGAGAAACGGCUACCACAUCCAAGGAAGGCAGCAGGCACGCAAAUUACCCACUCCCGGCACGGGGAGGUAGUGACGAAAAAUAACAAGCUGGUCUCAAUGAGUUCUAGCAUUGUAAUGGGAACAAUUUAAAUCUUUUAUCGAGGAUCUAUUGGAGGGCAAGUCUGGUGCCAGCAGCCGCGGUAAUUCCAGCUCCAAUAGCGUAUAUUAAAGUUGUUGCGGUUAGAAAGCUCGUAGUUGGAUCUAGGAUUAGGGCUACGGUCGUUCAGCUUGGACGUACUGUAUGCCCGACUCCUUUUCUCUAGUAUUCGAUUGUUGCUCUUAAAUGAGUGACUUUAGUUGCUGGAACUUUUACCUUGAAAAAAUUGAAGUGCUCAAAGCAGGUU